AGACUUACAGGCACUUAAUGCUAAGUUUCAGCUUCAAUCCUGUGAAGUCCUAAGGACUGCUUCUUCCGUUUGUAAGAUAUUUGAGUGAAGCAAAAUCUGAUUAAUAAAAAGAAGAAAGUCCCUGGGCCAAAAUUCUGCUACUCUACUCCUCUCUCCAAAAAUUGCUAUAAAAGCACCAUACAUACCCAUGCUAUAAUGACAUCAGGACCAUGACUCUACCAGUGAAUUAAUGUGGAAGACAAUGCUGUUAGUAUGGCAGUUGAGAUGGGUGAGAUGUAUUCUGCAUCUGACCUCCUGAACCAGAAACUGUGGAACCAGGGCAGAGGCAAAGCAGAGCACAUAGAAAAGAUAUCCUACAAUCAAAGAAGUUCUCUUUCAGAGGUCUGAUACUCCUUUCAGCACGAUAUAAAAUAGAUUUACCCAGACAGUGUAUUAAGUGGGAGUUUUAUUUUUUUUGACACAUUGUAGUUCACAAUGUAAAGCAAUGAAAUGCCCAUUUAAAAGACCCGUAUGAAAUCUGGGGAAGAGAUACUGUUCAAUGACUUUCCAGUAUCUUACUGAGUUCAUUUAGAAAAUUGAAAUAGUACUCAUAACUAUUUCAAAACGGAGUUCCUUUAAUUUUUAUAGGAGUAGUUGAUCCUGUGAAGCUUUUCUUAUUUAGUCCAAUAAAACAUACAAUCUACUUUUUUCAAUAUUUACUGAACUAAAAUGCUUA